rnacentral:rRNA from 1 species
GCAAGUCGAGCGCUUCACUUCGGUGAGGAGCGGCAGACGGGUGAGUAACGCGUGGGAACAUACCUAAUAGUACGGAAUAACGAUUGGAAACGAUCGCUAAUACCGUAUACGCCCUUAGGGGGAAAGAUUUAUCGCUAUUAGAUUGGCCCGCGUUGGAUUAGUUAGUUGGUGGGGUAAUGGCCUACCAAGACGACGAUCAAUAGCUGAUUUGAGAGGAUGAUC